rnacentral:rRNA from 1 species
UGCGCAGGCGGGAGAGUAAGUCAGAGGUGAAAUCUCACAGCUUAACUGUGAAACUGCCUUUGAUACUGCUUUUCUUGAGUUCGGGAGAGGUUGAUGGAAUUCCAGGUGUAGCGGUGAAAUGCGUAGAUAUCUGGAAGAACACCAGUGGCGAAGGCGGUCAACUGGCCCGUAACUGACGCUCAGGCACGAAAGCGUGGGUAGCGAACA